rnacentral:rRNA from 1 species
AUUGAACGCUAGCGGGAUGCCUUACACAUGCAAGUCGAACGGCAGCACGGACUUCGGUCUGGUGGCGAGUGGCGAACGGGUGAGUAAUGUAUCGGAACGUGCCCAGUAGCGGGGGAUAACUACUCGAAAGAGUAGCUAAUACCGCAUACGCCCUACGGGGGAAAGGGGGGGAUCGCAAGACCUCUCACUAUUGGAGCGGCCGAUAGCGGAUUAGCUAGUUGGUGGGGUAAAGGCCCACCAAGGCGACGAUCCGUAGCUGGUUUGAGAGGACGACCAGCCACACUGGGACUGAGACACGGCCCAGACUCCUCCGGGAGGCAGCAGUGGGGAAUUUUGGACAAUGGGGGCAACCCUGAUCCAGCCAUCCCGCGUGUACGAUGAAGGCCUUCGGGUUGUAAAGCACUUUUGGCAGGAAAGAAAUCGCACGGGCUAAUACCUCGUGUGGAUGACGGUACCUGCAGAAUAAGCACCGGCUAACUACGUGCCAGCCGCCGCCGUAA